rnacentral:tRNA from 1 species
UCCCCCAUAGCGCAGUUGGUUUAGCGCGUCCGACUGUUAAUCGGGAGGUCGACAGUUCAAGCCUGUCUGGGGGAG